rnacentral:rRNA from 1 species
UGUUUGAUGUUCUAACGUGGACCCGUGAUCCGGGUUGCGGACAGUGUCUGGUGGGUAGUUUGACUGGGGCGGUCUCCUCCUAAAGAGUAACGGAGGAGCACGAAGGUUGGCUAAUCCUGGUCGGACAUCAGGAGGUUAGUGCAAUGGCAUAAGCCAGCUUGACUGCGAGCGUGACGGCGCGAGCAGGUGCGAAAGCAGGUCAUAGUGAUCCGGUGGUUCUGAAUGGAAGGGCCAUCGCUCAACGGAUAAAAGGUACUCCGGGGAUAACAGGCUGAUACCGCCCAAGAGUUCAUAUCGACGGCGGUGUUUGGCACCUCGAUGUCGGCUCAUCACAUCCUGGGGCUGAAGUAGGUCCCAAGGGUAUGGCUGUUCGCCAUUUAAAGUGGUACGCGAGCUGGGUUUAGAACGUCGUGAGACAGUUCGGUCCCUAUCUGCCGUGGGCGCUGGAGAACUGAGGGGGGCUGCUCCUAGUACGAGAGGACCGGAGUGGACGCAUCACUGGUGUUCGGGUUGUCAUGCCAAUGGCACUGCCCGGUAGCUAAAUGCGGAAGAGAUAAGUGCUGAAAGCAUCUAAGCACGAAACUUGCCCCGAGAUGAGUUCUCCCUGAGACUUUAGGUCUCCUGAAGGAACGUUGAAGACGACAACGUUGAUAGGCCGGGUGUGUAAGCGCAGCGAUGCGUUGAGCUAACCGGUACUAAUGAACCGUGAGGCUUAACCUUACAACGCCGAAG